UCAUUUGGGAAUCUGUCAGAAAUGUAGAAUCACUGGUCCCACUCCAGACCUACUGAAUCAGAAUCUCAUUUUAAUAAGCGCUCCAGAUGAUUCAAAUACAUAAGGCACAGUGUUAUGUGUUCAGGAUACUGCCUUUGGAGCAGGUGGGCUACCAUCUUCCAGAUCCUCAUAGGGGUGGAGCAAAUGGUAGAGGAAGGAGAAAGCCAAGUUUGACUGCAGUAAUUCCUUGAAAUAUGCCGCAACCGCAACAUAGGAAAUGUGGACCUUAACAGCCUCAUCCCACCCUCUCAUUUUGCAAGCAAGGGAAAAAAAUCAGCUCUGUAGCAGUGAUCAGUAUGUGAAUUUGAAGUCAUAAACCAUGGUUGACUCAUUUAUUCAUUCAAAAAGUUUAUGGUAUGCCUGCCAUAUGCCAGGAUCUCUGCUAGACUCUGGGGACAUGAUGGAAUCAUCCAUCCUGCCUGUGCUACUGGAUGAAUGGAAAACUGAUUUAAACAAAGUACUAACAAGGAAUUGUCCUUGAUUUUUGUACUUCGUAGCAUUCCUCAACAUUCUUUUUACAUUUUCUCUUACUGUAAAAACUGCAUUUAAGUUAGAAAAUGAAGCAAUUGAAAAGGAAAAGGAAAAGCAAUUUCAGUGUACAAGAAACUCAGACCCUUUUGAAAGAAAUUACAAAAAGGAAAGAAGUCAUUUUUUCCAAGCAGCUCAAUACAACAAUUAAUGUGAUGAAGCGAAUGGCUUGGGAGGAGAUUGCACAGUGUGUGAAUGCUGUAGGAGAAGGAGAACAGAGAACAGGGACAGAAGUGAAAAGGAGGUACCUUGACUGGCGAGCACUUAUGAAGAGAAAGAGGAUGAAGGCGAACAUUAAGCUAGUUGGUUCGGGGUUUCCCCUUCCCACAUCCGAUUUAGAUGACUCUCUCACUGAAGAGAUAGAUGAAAAGAUUGGAUUCCGAAAUGAUACAAAUUUUGAUUGGCAAAAUGUGGCAGAUUUCAGGGAUGCAGGUGGAUCCUUAACUGAGGUCAAAGUGGAAGAGGAAGAAAGAGAUCCCCAGAGUCCUGAAUUUGAGAUUGAAGAGGAAGAAGAAAUGUUGUCAUCAGUCAUACCAGAUUCCAGGAGGGAAAGUGAACUUCCUGAUUUCCCCCACAUUGAUGAGUUUUUUACUCUGAAUUCAACACCAUCUAGGUCUGCAUAUGAUGAGCCCCAUUUGCUUGUAAACAUAGAGAAACAGAAACUAGAAUUGGAAAAACGACGGCUCGAUAUUGAGGCUGAAAGACUGCAGGUAGAGAAGGAACGCCUACAGAUUGAGAAAGAGAGGCUGCGACAGUUAGACAUGGAGCAUGAGCGGCUUCAGCUGGAGAAGGAGCGGCUGCAGAUUGAAAGAGAGAAGUUGAGGUUACAGAUAGUCAACUCAGAGAAACCAUCUUUGGAAAAUGAACUUGGUCAAGGAGAAAAGUCCAUAUAUCAACCACAGGAUAUAGAAACAGAGAAGUUAAAACUUGAGAGAGAACGCUUGCAACUGGAAAAAGAUAGGCUGCAGUUUUUAAAAUUUGAAUCAGAGAAGCUGCAGAUUGAAAAGGAGCGCUUACAAGUAGAGAAAGAGAGACUACGAAUGCAGAAGGAAGGACACUUGCAGUGAUUUAUUUAGGUCUCCAUUUAUCAGUUGUUUGUAAACCAUAGGCUUAGAUAAUAUAAAAAUGGUUGCAGGAUUAGCUGUAUUAUUUUUUUUUCCUGUUUAAUAUUAGUGUUUUCAGUAGGAAAAAGAUAGUUAUUUGUGGGUAAUUAUAUGCUUAAGUAGUAUAUUGUAUAAAAACUAUGUGCCCUUGCAUAAACAGUAUAGCAAAAACUAUUGUGCUAUACUCUUUAAAUUAGUAAAAUUACAUAGAGUCUUGUCUAAUCUGUGCACUCAGAGUUUACAAUUACGUCUGUAAAAUUCUAGCUCAAUAGUUCUCAACUGGGGGUGACUUUGGCUCCCAAAAGACAUUUGGCAAUGUCUGGAGACAUUUUUGGUUGUCAAAACUGGGCAGUGGGGCACGUUGCUACUGGCAUGUAGUAGGGAGAGGCCAGGGAUGCCUACAUCCUGCAAUGCACAGGACAGCCCCCCACAAAAAAGAAUGAUCCAACCCAAAAUGUCAACAUUGCUGAGGUUGAGAAACCCUGUCCUAGCCUGACUGAGCACCUCUUCAGCUUUGUUUCAGUUUCAGAAUAUUAAAACCUCAGAUAUUUAUGUGGGAGUUACUUCAAUGGCCCAAAACUUUAACUAUGAAACAUUACUGUGUAGUAUAUUGAAUAUAGAAAGUAAUGAAGAUUAUAGGUAUUUUAUUCAUAUGUUUCCAUCUGUAAAUGACGUGAGAGUCAGAAAACUGCAGGGAACAUCAGAGAUUGUCUAAAGUGGGUCACUUUGAAAAGCAGUUCAUUCGUCUAGCUAUUGAUGCUUUAGAAACCACACACACUUUUUAAGCUUUAGUUACCCUUUCUUCUUUGAUUCCAUUGUCUUAGUUUAGACAAAAAUUUUCAUUUCAACCAUGUACUGAAAUCUUAAUGUAAGUGGUUGAAUCUAGUAAACAUGUUACCAGUUUAAAAAUGGUACCAGUAGUCAAUGAGCUUGAACUCAGUAAGUGGUAAUUUGAUUUUUAAAAUAGAUAAUAGCUAUUUGGAACUGGGAGUGGGGGUGGGGGGAGAAUGUCCUUGUAUCCAAUAGUAAUGAUGAUCGUGAUGAAAUAAUGAUAGUAGCUGUGUGUUUUGAAUUAGGAAAUCACUGCACACUGCCUGACCUAAUCUGUAGAAAAUUGAGAGUAGUAUCUAUUAUUAUUCCUGAAUCUGAGGCUUAGAAGUCAUACAGUGUGUAAAUGGCUAAUUUCAUAUAUCAUGAUGUAUUUUGUCUUUGCCCCUCCCUGUGCAACAAAGUAUGUAUCUUUAGUCCCUUUGGUAUUUAUUCUGAGACCAAGGGCUUGCUUUAAUCUGGUGAUUUGCCUUCAAUCCCCUGAAGGUACUUCUUCCACAAUCCAGGUGAUUCUAAUGCACACUAAAGUUGAGAAUCACUGCACGAGAUCACUUUGUAUUUUCCCAUUUCCAGGGCUGAUAUGUAGCCUUAGUAUAUCUCUUCUAUUGACAGGUACUACCUUGAUUCUGCAUUUGGUCCUUGUUAAUUUAAGAAUGUCUUGAAACCUUAUGUGACAUUUGAGUAUGGGUAUGUAAGGAAAAAAUAUACUUCUUCUUAGUUACCUUGACUUUGAAAUAGUGUUAUUUUUCUAUAACUGAAAUAAAUGCUUCUACCAUAGAAAUAAAAUUUGCCUAUACUAACUAUGUGAACGUUUAUCAUUUCAAGUGAUGCUCAGUGCUAUGAGGGUUGAGGUUGUCAAGCCUGGAAAAGAGCUUUAUCAUGGGCUUCCCUGGUUGCACAGUGGCUAAGAAUCCACCUGCCAAUGCAGGAGACACAGGUUUGAGCUCGGGUUCAGGAAGAUCCCACAUGCCGUGGAGCAACUAAGCCCAUGUGCCCCAACUACUGAGCCUGUGCUCUAGAGCCUGAGAGUCACAACUACUGAGCCCGUGUGCUGCAACUACUGAAGCCCACGUGCCUAGAACCUGUGCUCCACAACAAGAGAAGCCACCGCAAUGUGAAGCCCACGCACCACAACGAAGAGUAGCCCCUGCUCGCCGCAACUAGAGAAAGCCUGCGCACAGUGAUGAAGACCCAACACAGUCAAAAAUAAAAUAAAUUAAAUAAAUUUAAAAAAUAAUUUUAAAAAAUUCAUGCAAAACUCUUGAUAAACAAAAUAUGAAAAUUUGAAAACUUAAAAAUUGACAUAGUAAAACAAAUCGUACCUUGCUACCCUGCAAAAGAAGUUUCAGUAAGCUG